rnacentral:tRNA from 1 species
GACACUAUGACCGAGUGGUCUAAGGUGCCUGAGUCAAGUUCAGGUCUCGCAAGAGGCGUGGGUUCGAAUCCCACUGGUGUCA